UGGAUUUCUCUGUGAAUCACUA
rnacentral:miRNA from 1 species